AACAAAAAGGUAUUUUUUAGACUAGUUCUCUCCUUGGAGCCCCACCGAACUCAAUCCUUCAGCACUCCCGGCCGACUGCAUAGCCUGAUAGCCAGAGUCUUCUUCUUCAGAGUUCAGACUACCGAUUCUUCAGAUUGAGUUCUAGUCUUCUGCUUCUUCAGUUCUUCCUCUCUUAACUAUGUGAAUAAAUUGCUGGGUUGCCGGCAGUGUGUGGGUUGACGAAUUUCCUGGGUGAGUUACUGAGUUUGAUGAAAUUGCUGGGUGAAUUGGGUAUCAAGCAGUUGAGUAAAAGAUUGGAGCUUUUGGUUCUUUGACGUUUUUGGGGAGUUUUGGAGAAAGGAUGGAGCAAAGCUGGGUUGGUGCUUGUUUGGGGAAA